GAAUUUUUAUUGGCCAAGUGUGAUUGGACACACAAGGAAUUUGUCUUGGUGCAUAUGCUCUCAGUGUACAUAAAAAAAAAAGAUACGUUCAUCAAGGUACAACAUUUACAACACAAUUGAUGGUCAAUAUAUCAAUAUAAAUCAUAAGGAUUGCCAGCAACAAGUUAUAGUCAUACAGUCAUAAAUGGAAAGAGAUUGGUGAUGGGAACUAUGAGAAGAUUAAUAGUAGUGCAGAUUCAGUAAAUAGUUUGACAGUGUUGAUGGAAUUAUUUGUUUAGCAGAGUGAUGGCCUUCGGGGAAAAACUGUUCUUGUGUCUAGUUGUUCUGGUGUGCAGUGCUCUAUAGCGUCGUUUUGAGGGUAGGAGUUGAAACAGUUUAUGUCCAGGAUGCGAGGGAUCUGCAAAUAUUUUCACGGCCCUCUUCUUGAUUCGUGCAGUAUACAAGUCCUCAAUGGAAGGCAGGAAUGGUUCUGCAUUAUUAGGAAAACAAAACAAAACAGUUUGGAGCGUAAACUUCUUAGAGGGAAUGACCGAGAAAUAAAAUGAGCAGGGUGCUGCUCCUAAACACAAAGACGACUGAGUUUUUCUUCCUGAGAGUACAGAAGAAGAGGCAUGGCUGUUGUAGCGUCAUCCUUUGGAGUCUGAGUGAACAAGAACUGGAAAGCUAAGGUCAAAUGUAUCUGGUAUUUUCCAAGGAAUUGAAGCAAGUCAUACUUCUAAUUGAUUUGGAUUGGAAGGUUGUAUGGUCUAAGUGAUCAUGAUUAGUCAUUCAUGAUUUAUGGCUUAGCAUCCUAUGUGAAUCCAAUCAACUCUGACUUAUUCACAAACAAUGCUUUAAUAAAA